CCUACGGGGCGCAGCAGGCGCGAAAACUUCACAAUGUGCGAAAGCACGAUGAGGGAAUCCCAAGUGCUUGCACGUAAGUGUCAGCUGUUUCUUUGUCUAAAAAACAUAGAGAGUAAGGGCUGGGUAAGACGGGUGCCAGCCGCCGCGGUAA
rnacentral:rRNA from 1 species